GCGCGCGCAGGCGGUUUCUUAGUCUGAUGUGAAGCCCACGGCUCAACCGUGGAGGGUCAUUGGAAACUGGGGAACUUGAGGACAGAAGAGGAGAGUAGGAAUUCCACGUGUAGCGGUGAAAUGCGUAGAUAUGUGGAGGAACAAGCCAGUGGCGAAGGCGACUCUCUGGUCUCUUGGUUUCUGACGCUGAGGUGCGAAAGCGUGGGUAGCAAACAGGAUUAGAUACCCUGGUAGUCCACGCCGUAAACGAUGAGUGCUAGGUGUUAGGGGGCUUCCACCCCUUAGUGCUGAAGUUAACGCAUUAAGCACUCCGCCUGGGGAGUACGGCCGCAAGGCUGAAACUCAAAGGAAUUGACGGGGGCCCGCACAAGCGGUGGCAGCAUGUGGUUUAAUUCGAAGCAUACGCGAAGAACCUUACCAGGUCUUGACAUCCUGUGGACCACCCUAGAGAUAGGGUCUUCCCUUCGGGGACCAAGUGACAGGUGGUGCAUGGUUGUCGUCAGCUCGUGUCGUGAGAUGUUGGGUUAAGUCACCGCAACGAGCGCAACCCCUAAUCUUAGUUGCCAGCAUUUAGUUGGGCACUCUAAGGUGACUGCCGGUGACAAACCGGAGGAAGGCGGGGAUGACGUCAAAUCAUCAUGCGCGCGC
rnacentral:rRNA from 1 species